rnacentral:rRNA from 13 species
CUCGGAUCAGGUAGGGAUACCCGCUGAACUUAAGCAUAUCAAUAAGCGGAGGAA